GGGAGGUUCGUCCGUUGGAGGAGUCUGGAGGAUCCUAUGGAAAUUCGGUUGGCAUUGUUGAAGUCCAGCUGACACUAUUGAAGGUUGAUGGCUGGGGAGGUACGACAGACAUCAGAGGCGAUCGGCCAUUGUAGAAAUCCAACUGCUGGAGCCCAUCUGUUGUAGAAGUUCGACCGAAAUCCAUCCGCUACGGAAGUUCAGGUGAUGUUCUAUUCUUGUAGAAGUCCGAAUGGGGCCGCUUAUUGAAGAAGCUCGACUGAAGUCCGCCUAUAACAGAAGUUCGAAAGAAAUUUGCUUACCGUAGAGAUCCGGAGUAGACCGCUUGUAGUAGAAGUUCGGAGUAGACUGCUCGUAGUAGAAGUUCAGAGUAGACCGCUUAUUGUAGAAGUCCCACUGCUGGAGAAGCUCGGUCUUUAAUGAAGUCCAGAAGAGGUUCGGAGUAGAGAUCUCGCUGGUGGAGGCUGUUCGUUGUCGAAAUUAAUCUGGGAUCCAUCCACUAUAGGAGUUCGGCUGAAAUUUGAUUCCUGUAGGAGCCUGGAUGGAGGCCGAUUGUUGUAGAAGUUCGGACGGAGCCCGACCCUGGCA
rnacentral:lncRNA from 1 species